rnacentral:rRNA from 1 species
AUGCCUGAAUAGGGUGAAGCCAGAGGAAACUCUGGUGGAGGCUCGCGAAUUUGGGUAUAGUAGCAAAUAUUCAAAUGAGAACUUUGAAGACUGAAGUGGGGAAAGGUUCCACGUCAACAGCAGUUGGACGUGGGUUAGUCGAUCCUAAGAGAUGGUUUCAAAGGCCUGAUUCAGGCCACCAUCGAAAGGGAAUCCGGUUAAGAUUCCGGAACCUGGAUAUGGAUUCUUCACGGUAACGUAACUGAAUGUGGAGACGUCGGCGCGAGCCCUGGGAGGAGUUAUCUUUUCUUCUUAACAGCUUAUCACCCCGGAAUUGGUUUAUCCGGAGAUGGGGUCUUAUGGCUGGAAGAGGCCAGCACCUUUGCUGGCUCCGGUGCGCUUGUGACGGCCCGUGAAAAUCCACAGGAAGGAAUAGUUUUCAUGCCAGGUCGUACUGUCUCCAAGGUGAACAGCCUCUAGUUGAUAGAAUCCGUAACUUCGGGAUAAGGAUUGGCUCUAAGGGUCGGGUAGUGAGGGCCUUGGUCACGGCCUUGGCUUGCUACAAUUAACGAUCAACUUAGAACUGGUACGGACAAUAUCUAGCGAGGCUGUCUGAUCAGGCAUUGCGUAAGCAGUAGAGUAGCCGUUACGAUCUGCUGAGA